GUCUCUGUCCCUACUAGAGGCAGGCAGAGAUCCUGAAGAGUGCUCACACUGUGGUGUGACAAGGUGGGCAAGUAAAUAGACAGCCCCUUUGCUGCUGCCCCAGUACAGGGCGCACAGCAGAGUGCUCAUGUCCGUGAAUGGCAAGCCGUUAAGGGAAACUAGCAGCUGGGCAAUCUAAUGAAGGGUGAGUGCUCUUUUAAAUUGUGGAUGUGUUCCAACAUUGCCAUUUCACCACUUGAACGUGCCCAUGCAGCACUGGGCCAGGCACAUGGGACAUACAACAGGAUCCAUCUUCCUGACAGGAAUACCAUCAUCUCUCAACCCAGUAAGCAGCCAGCAUCCUGAAGAACGCCAAAGGGUGCCUCCGUCACUUUUCCCCAAAACCAAACUUAAUUUCCUACAUCAUGCUUGGAUGGGGAUGCUUAAUGACAUUAUCCAGAAGGAUCUGCUCUGGGGCUUCAAUCAUGGCUGAGCAAGAAAACAAAAACUCUAAUUUGCUAAUUGCCUUUCCCAGGACCCUAGCAGAUGUUCCUACCCGACAGGGAAAUGAGGAGACAUGAAGUGGCAAUGCCACACUGUUUAAGGAACCUCAUUAGUUUGAAAAAUAUGAUGCACAGUCUUCAGAGGCCUGGGACCCAAAAUCACAGCCACAGAGGCCUGUCUAGCUGAGCUCAAUGGGCACGGGGUCUGCAAGAAGACAUGACUGCUGUGGGGAUUGGUAGUGACUGCGUGAAAUGCCCUUCUCUCUGUGUGGCCUCUGGCUUUGGACUUGCUGGAGCCAGAGGUGGGGGCAAAUCUCCUUCUUUCGUCUAGCCAGCAGUAAUGAUGCCUGCCCUGGGAAUCUCAGGCUGCUGAAAAGCAUAAGACUCAACCACUUUCCCUUAGGGAGACAGCCUACACCAAAGGGGUCAGACUCCACGAGAGAUCUGAAUAAUGACAAAGACUGUAAAAAGAAAUCCAGUUAGGUACCACUGGAAUUCCUUUAUAGACUGCAUAUUACUUUCAAAUAUAUACUACUGCACUUGUAAAAGUACACAGUUGAUCUAAUCACGCUCCUGCUCAAAAUCCUCGACAGGUUCUCUGAGGCUUUCAGGAUGAACAAAUGAAGAAAAGCAAUACACUGCCUUAGAAACAACCAACACUUAAGAAUGAACUGGGAAUGCAGAGCACUGUGAGCUCAGACUAUUUAUUUCAUGUCUUUAUUUUUCAAUUUUUGACUCUGUGCAAAGGUACCAAUGAUAGGUGCCUGACCUUAGUUUAACUGGAAUGUUUUUAAGAUUUUUCUUGUGCAAAUAUUAAGUAGGGAGGCUGUUUUAUUAAAGA
rnacentral:lncRNA from 1 species